rnacentral:lncRNA from 1 species
AUUUUACACAUACAUAAGAACACUCUCAUCUUCAUCUUGUUACCAAGAACACCAUCCAAAAACCCAUUUUAUUUUAUUACAUCUUUGAUGAUCAACAUGGAGAUUAAUGGAACAUAAGAUGAUCUAAAGCAUCUACAAGUUAAAACACACUUUUUCAUCCAUUCAAGAGCUUUCAAUCAACAAGAUCUUCAUCUUCUUUGCUUCUAAUCAUCAUAUAGAACAUCCCUAGCACAAGUGCUAGAAAAUGUUAUGAUUAAAUUGUUGGGAAUUAGUGGACCAAUGUAAAGAUUUCAGUACAAGGAAAACAAGUGUCAAGACUCCAUGCCAACUAUUGAAGGGUUGACUGUUAUAUACCGCCUCUUUGCGGUGAUAUAGUGGUCA